rnacentral:tRNA from 1 species
CCUUCGAUGGCUCAGUUGGUAGAGCGGAGGACUAGUUAUCCUUAGGUUGCUGGUUUGACUCUGGCUCGAAGGA